rnacentral:rRNA from 1 species
UACGUAGGGACCGAGCGUUGCCCGGAAUCAUUGGGCGUAAAGGGCGCGUAGGCGGCUCAUGAAGGCUGUGGUGAAAGUCCGGGGCUCAACCUCGGAUCGGCCGUGGCGACUCGUGGGCUGGAGCACUGUAGAGGCGGGUGGAAUUCCGGGUGUAGCGGUGGAAUGCGUAGAGAUCCGGAAGAACACCAGUGGCGAAGGCGGCCCGCUGGGCAGUGGCUGACGCUGAGGCGCGACAGCGUGGGGAGCAAACAGG